UACGUAGGGUGCGAGCGUUACUCGGAAUUACUGGGCGUAAAGUGUGCGCAGGCGGCCGCGCAAGUCGAGUGUGAAAGCCCCGGGCUUAACUUGGGAAUUGCGCUCGAAACUACGUGGCUAGAGUGUGGCAGAGGGAGGUGGAAUUCCACGUGUAGCGGUGAAAUGCGUAGAGAUGUGGAGGAACACCGAUGGCGAAGGCAGCCUCCUGGGCCAACACUGACGCUCAUGCACGAAAGCGUGGGGAGCAAACAGG
rnacentral:rRNA from 1 species